rnacentral:rRNA from 1 species
UACGUAGGGUGCAAGCGUUAAUCGGAAUUACUGGGCGUAAAGCGUGCGCAGGCGGUGAUGUAAGACAGUUGUGAAAUCCCCGGGCUCAACCUGGGAACUGCAUCUGUGACUGCAUCGCUGGAGUACGGUAGAGGGGGAUGGAAUUCCGCGUGUAGCAGUGAAAUGCGUAGAUAUGCGGAGGAACACCGAUGGCGAAGGCGAUCCCCUGGACCUGUACUGACGCUCAUGCACGAAAGCGUGGGGAGCAAACAGG